rnacentral:sRNA from 1 species
AGUCUGGUUCUCGCUCCCGCCCAAAACGAAGUAAAUAACGCAGUGGCGGGGGAACCAGUCUAAACUACGCGCGCGCUCAUUGGUCGAUUAAAUGCCAGCCGCCAAUUUUCAUAUUCGAUUCCGCCAUGUUGUCUACCAUCAUAGAUGACGGUGAAAUGAAUUAAAAAGGGAAUUAUCUGAUUCUGUACGGUACUACCGGUUGAUAAGGUUAAAAACUACGUUGUCAAUGGGGUAUUCGUCUAUGGAGUGUUUUAGUGUGAAAAAUCCACGGCUGAACAGAGGAAGAAUCUGAAUGAAUGAAUCGAGUGUCGACACCCCCUGCAUCUUCUGUAUGAGCACUUCAAGCCUGCCCUGAGUUGCACAGACCUGAAGAAAACCAUGAAAAGCUCGCUGAUUUUAUGAAUGAUGCAACAAAAAAAGUGAAGACGUAAUUUAAGUAAUGGAGAAGUUAUACAUGCUGAAGUCUGGUUGUGUCAAUUUGGAUAUUAUUGUGAUGUUCUGGUAGUCAGCCGUUUGUGUGGUUUACAGUUUAUGUGUGAAAUCAGAGAGCAUGUGAGACACGAGACUGUCAAAAAAAGGACAUUUGGAAUGUUGGAGACGAAUGCCUCGAUCGAUUGUAAUGCAGCCAGUGUUCGUGCAGCACUUAUGAACUACUUUGUAUGGUUAAAUUGAACUUUGCCUACUGUGAACUGUGAUUUUUUUUCCAAGUCCGUCUGUGUGCUACACUGCUUUGUGUGAUCAAACUGCAAUACAAGUUUCAACAUGCCAGCAUUUAUUAUUGGUAAACUUUCUAAAGAUUUAUGUAAAUGUAAUGUUAAACAAUGUAUGAAAUUGUAUUUUUAAAAUGACUGAUGUAAAUAUAUAUUGAUGAUUUUAAUUUC